rnacentral:rRNA from 3 species
AGGUCUAACCUGCCCAAUGAGGAAUUAAAUGGCCGCAGUAUUUUGACUGUGCAAAGGUAGCAUAAUUAUUAGUUUUUUAAUUGAAAGCUUGUAUGAAGGGUUGGACGAGAUAAAAUCUGUCUUUAUUUAAAUUACAAUAGAAUUUAACUUUUAAGUCAAAAGGCUUAAAUGUAUAUAAAAGACGAGAAGACCCUAUAGAUCUUUAUUUAAUUAAUAUUUUGAUAAUUUAAGAUUAUUUUAGUUUAAAGUUUUAAUUAAAUUUUAUUGGGGUAAUAUAGAGAUUAAAUAAAUUCUUUUUAUUUAUUACAUUGAUUUAUGAAUAUAUGAUCCAAUAUUAUUGAUUAUAAGAUUAAGUUACCUUAGGGAUAACAGCGUAAUUUUUUUGGAGAGCUCAUAUCGAUAAAAAAGUUUGCGACCUCGAUGUUGGAUUAAAAAUUAGCUUGGGUGCAGAAGCUCAAGAUUUUGGUCUGUUCGACCAUUAAAUUUUUACAUGAUCUGAGUUCAGACCGGCGUAAGCCAGGUCGGUUUCUAUCUUUAUUUAUCUAAAAUAUUUUAGUACGAAAGGACCAAAUAUUUAAUAUAAUUAUAUUUCUUUUUUGAAUAAUAUU